GACGAACGCUGGCGGCGUGCUUAACACAUGCAAGUCGAACGGUAAGGCCCUUCGGGGUACACGAGUGGCGAACGGGUGAGUAACACGUGGGUGAUCUGCCCUGCACUUCGGGAUAAGCCUGGGAAACUGGGCCUAAUACCGGAUAGGACCCUGGGAUGCAUGUCCUGGGGUGGAAAGCUUGUGCGGUGUGGGAUGGGCCCGCGGCCUAUCAGCUUGUUGGUGGGGUGAUGGCCUACCAAGGCGACGACAGGUAGCCGGCCUGGGAGGGUGACCGGCCACACUGGGACUGAGAUACGGCCCAGACUCCUACGGGAGGCAGCAGUGGGGAAUAUUGCACAAUGGGCGCAAGCCUGAUGCAGCGACGCCGCGUGAGGAAUGACGGCCUUCGGGUUGUAAACCUCUUUCAGCACCGACGAAGCGCAAGUGACGGUAGGUGCAGAAGAAGGACCGGCCAACUACGUGCCAGCAGCCGCCGUAA
rnacentral:rRNA from 1 species